CUCCCACCUCCAGUGGAUACACAGCUGCGACCUGGACCCGGACCGGAGCCUCUUCGCGCGGGGAUGAACAUACCCUACGAUGGCGCCAGUUACCUCGUCCUAAACCAGGAACUGCUCUCUUGGACCGCAGCGGAAAAGGCGGCUCAGAUGUUUUGGAGGAGGAACAUGCAGAGCUGCUCAAAACCUACCUGCCGGGAAGGUGGGCGGAGUGGCUCAGCAAAGGCCUUAAGAAUGAGAAGGAGAGGCUGCAAUGCGCAGAUCCCCUGAAGGCACAGGUAACCCUCCACCCCAUCUCCAACUAUGAGGCCACGCUGAGGUGCUGGGCCCUGGGCUUCUACCCUCUGGAGAUCACACUGACCCAGGAGCGGGAUGGGGAGGACCAAAUUCAGGAUGCAGAGUUUGUGGAGACCAGACUUGCAGGGUACAGAACCUUCCAGAAGUGGGCAGCUGCAGUGGUGUCUUCUGGAGAGAAGCAGAGGUACACAUGCCAUGUGCAGCACGAGGGGUUGCCUGAGCCCCUCACACUAAGAUGGGAGCUGUCUUCCCAGCCCAUCAUCCCCGUUGUGGGCAUCAUUGCUGGCCUGGUUCUUCUAGUUGCUGUAAUCACUGUAGCUGUAGUCGCUGCUGUGAUGUGGAGGAAUAAGAUCCCAGGUAGGAAAGGGAUGGAAAAGGAGGCAGUUAUGCUCAGGCUUCAUGUAAGAACAGUACCCAGGGCUCUGAUGUGUCUCUCAAGGCUUGUAAAAGUGA
rnacentral:lncRNA from 1 species